UUUGAUGGCGACCGGCGCACGGGUGAGUAACACGUAUCCAACCUGCCGAUGACUCGGGGAUAGCCUUUCGAAAGGAAGAUUAAUACCCGAUGGCAUAGUUCUUCCGCAUGGUGGAACUAUUAAAGAAUUUCGGUCAUCGAUGGGGAUGCGUUCCAUUAGGUUGUUGGCGGGGUAACGGCCCACCAAGCCUUCGAUGGAUAGGGGUUCUGAGAGGAAGGUCCCCCACAUUGGAACUGAGACACGGUCCAAACUCCUACGGGAGGCAGCAUG
rnacentral:rRNA from 1 species